rnacentral:lncRNA from 1 species
UCUCUCUCUCUCUCUCUCUCUCUCUCUCUCUCUCUCUCUCUCUCUCUCUCUCUCUCUCUCUCUAUAUAUAUAUAUAUAUAUAUAUAUAUAUAGAGUGAGGCUACUAUGCUAUCGGAAGCAUGGAGCCUUCCGUGCUUCCAGCUCGUUUUCGAUGUUGCGACUUUCGAAUCGUCGAUCGGCUCCGUUAAACUUGAUCUAGAGUAUUUGGAGUACCUAGAAAAUAAAUUUUAUUAUUUUUUGAUAUCAUUUGCCUAGUGAUCGAAUGGGCUCAAAAUCAACAAAUUUCAAUGGUCGUAGUGAGCCGUUUGCAAGUUUAACGGUGUAGAAAUAUCCAAAUCACGUGAAAUUUUACUAGAAAAUUCUUUAUACUAUAUAAAACAAGAUCAAUAUCUUUGAUUUAAAAUUUUAAUGUCAUAUUAUUACAUUUUGUAAGAUUUUUUAUUUUCAGCCGUUGAUUUUGAGCCCCCUUGUUCACUAGGCAAAUGAUAUCGUAAAAUUAUAAAAUUUAUUUUCUAGGUACUUCAAAUACUCUAGAUCAAGUUUAACAGAGCCGAUUGACGAUUCGAAAGUCGCAACAUCGAAAACGAGCUGGAAGCACGGAAGGCUCCGUGCUUCCGAUAGCAUAGUAGCCUCACUCAUAUAUAU